UAAGUCGGAUGUGAAAGCCCCGGGCUUAACCUGGGAACUGCAUUCGAUACUGCAUAGCUAGAGUAUGGAAGAGGGAAGUGGAAUUCCGGGUGUAGCGGUGAAAUGCGUAGAUAUCAGGAGGAAUACCAAUGGCGAAGGCAGCUCACUGGACGGUGACUGACGCUGAUAUGCGAAAGCGUGGGGAGCAAACAGGAUUAGAUACCCUGGUAGU
rnacentral:rRNA from 1 species